GAUGAACGCUAGCGGCAGGCUUAACACAUGCAAGUCGAGGGACAGCACAGGUAGCAAUACUGGGUGGUAACCGGCAAACGGGUGCGGAACACGUACACAACCUUCCUUUAAGUGGGGGAUAGCCCAGAGAAAUUUGGAUUAAUACCCCGUAAUAUAGUUGAAUGGCAUCAUUUGAUUAUUAUAGCUACGGCGCUUAAUGAUGGGUGUGCGGCUGAUUAGAUAGUUGGCGGGGUAACGGCCCACCAAGUCUACGAUCAGUAGCUGAUGUGAGAGCGUGAUCAGCCACACGGGCACUGAGACACGGGCCCGACUCCUACGGGAGGCAGCAGUAAGGAAUAUUGGUCAAUGGACGCAAGUCUGAACCAGCCAUGCCGCGUGAAGGAUUAAGGUCCUCUGGAUUGUAAACUUCUUUUAUUUGGGACGAAAAAGGGCCUUUCUAGGUCAACUGACGGUACCAGAUGAAUAAGCACCGGCUAACUCCGUGCCAGCCGCCGCGGUAAUAC
rnacentral:rRNA from 1 species